GAUGGACGCUGGCGGCGUGCCUAAUACAUGCAAGUCGAGCGAACAGAUGAGGAGCUUGCUCCUCUGACGUUAGCGGCGGACGGGUGAGUAACACGUGGGUAACCUACCUAUAAGACUGGGAUAACUUCGGGAAACCGGAGCUAAUACCGGAUAAUAUAUUGAACCGCAUGGUUCAAAAGUGAAAGACGGUUUUGCUGUCACUUAUAGAUGGAUCCGCGCCGCAUUAGCUAGUUGGUAAGGUAACGGCUUACCAAGGCAACGAUGCGUAGCCGACCUGAGAGGGUGAUCGGCCACACUGGAACUGAGACACGGUCCAGACUCCUACGGGAGGCAGCAGUAGGGAAUCUUCCGCAAUGGGCGAAAGCCUGACGGAGCAACGCCGCGUGAGUGAUGAAGGUCUUCGGAUCGUAAAACUCUGUUAUUAGGGAAGAACAAAUGUGUAAGUAACUAUGCACGUCUUGACGGUACCUAAUCAGAAAGCCACGGCUAACUACGUG
rnacentral:rRNA from 1 species